rnacentral:rRNA from 1 species
UGAUGGAGGGGGAUAACUACUGGAAACGGUAGCUAAUACCGCAUAAUGUCGCAAGACCAAAGUGGGGGACCUUCGGGCCUCAUGCCAUCAGAUGUGCCCAGAUGGGAUUAGCUAGUAGGUGGGGUAACGGCUCACCUAGGCGACGAUCCCUAGCUGGUCUGAGAGGAUGACCAGCCACACUGGAACUGAGACACGGUCCAGACUCCUACGGGAGGCAGCAGUGGGGAAUAUUGCACAAUGG